AGACCCACAGCGGUUCUCAACCUGUGGGUCCCCAGAUGUUGUUGGACUACAACUCCCAUCAUCCCUGACCACUGGUCAUACUGGCUAGGAAUGAUGGGAGUUGUAGUCCAACAACAUCUGGGGACCCACAGGUUGAGAAACACUGGGCUA